rnacentral:rRNA from 1 species
UACGUAGGGGGCGAGCGUUAUCCGGAAUUAUUGGGCGUAAAGGGCACGCAGGCGGUCCUGCACGUGGAUGGUGACAGCUCCUGGCUUAACUGGGAGAGUGCCUUCCAAACGAUAGGACUUGAGAGCGAGAGAGGGAUACGGAACUCCAGGUGGAGCAGUGAAAUGCGUAGAGAUCUGGAAGAACACCAAAGGCGAAGGCAGUAUCCUGGCUCGUCUCUGACGCUCAGGUGCGAAAGCUAGGGGAGCAAAC